rnacentral:rRNA from 1 species
GAGGGGGAAAAAUUAAUAAUUUAUAAAUAAUAAAAAAAUUUUUAAUACUAAAAUGGGGGUUAUAGUAUUAUAAAUAAAAAAAAUUAUAAAUUUUAUAGUAAAUUAGUAUUGUAAAAGAAUUUUGAAAUAAAUGAAAAUUAAAUUAUUUAAAAGUAAAUUUAAUUUAUUGUAUCUUGUGUAUCAGAGUUUAUUAAAUAAAUUUAUUAAUAUUAAUAAAUCUCGAAUUUAAAGGAGAUAAUUAAUUAAAAAAUUUAAUGUUGAAUAAUUAUUUUAAAUAAUUAAUUUGAAAUGAAAAGUUAAUCGUUUUUAAAUAUAUCUAGUUUUUUUAGAAAUAAAUUUAAUUUAAAAUUUAAUUUAAUUAAUAAUUUUUUAAAAAUUAUUAAUAAAUUAAAUUAAAUAUUUUAAGGGAUAAGCUUUAAAUUAAAAAUUUAUAUUAAUAAUAAAAAUUAUUAAAAUUUUUAAAAUUUAAAUUGUUUAAAAAUUAUAAUUUUUUAUAAAAAAUUUUAAUAAAAAUAAAAUUUAAAUAAAAAUUAAUUUUUUAUAAAAAAAAAAUUUUUAAUAAUACAAAAUUAGAAAUAAUGAUAAAAUUAGUAUAAAUAUGAAUAAAAAAAAAAAUAAAAUUACAAUUAAUUAAAAGGAAUUCGGCAAAUAUAUAUAUUCACUUGUUUAUCAAAAACAUGUCUUUUUGUUAAUAAUUUAAAGUCUAAUCUGCCCACUGAUAUAAAAAUUGAAGGGCUGCAGUAUAUUGACUGUACAAAGGUAGCAUAAUCAUUAGUCUUUUAAUUGAAGACUUGUAUGAACGAUUUGAUGAAAUAUAAACUGUCUCUUAAUUAAAAAUUGAAUUUAAUUUUUUAGUUAAAAAGCUAAAAUAAUUUUAAAAGACGAGAAGACCCUAUAGAGUUUUAUAAAUAAUUUAUUUAAUAUUUUAUAUAAAAAUUAUAUUAAAAAAUAGAUUAUUUAUUAUAUUGGGGUGAUAAAAAAAUUUAAAAAACUUUUUGUAUAUAAAAUCAUAAAUAAGUGAAAAUAUGAUCCAUAAUUAAUGAUUAAAAGAAAAAAUUACCUUAGGGAUAACAGCGUAAUUUUUUUUUUUAGUUCAAAUAAGAAAAAGAGAUUGCGACCUCGAUGUUGGAUUAAGAUAAAAUUUAAAUGCAAAAGUUUAAAAUUUUGAUCUGUUCGAUCAUUAAAAUCUUACAUGAUCUGAGUUCAAACCGGUGUAAGCCAGGUUGGUUUCUAUCUUUAAAUAAUUAAAAUAUUUUAGUACGAAAGGAUCAAAUAUUUAAAAUAAUUUUAAUAUAAGAAUUUUAUUAAUAUGAUUAUAAACUAUUUUGGCAGAAAAAUGUGAUGAUUUUAGAAGUCAAA